UACAGAGGUCCCAAGCGUUGUUCGGAUUCACUGGGCGUAAAGGGUGCGUAGGCGGUCGGGUAAGUCUGACGUGAAAUCUUCAAGCUCAACUUGGAAACUGCGUCCGAUACUAUUCGGCUAGAGGAAUGGAGGGGAGACUGGAAUACUUGGUGUAGCAGUGAAAUGCGUAGAUAUCAAGUGGAACACCAGUGGCGAAGGCGAGUCUCUGGACAUUUCCUGACGCUGAGGAGCGAAAGCGUGGGGAGCGAACAGG
rnacentral:rRNA from 1 species